UACGUAGGGCGCAAGCGUUAUCCGGAAUUAUUGGGCGUAAAGAGCUCGUAGGCGGUUUGUCGCGGUCUGCCGUGAAAGUCCGGGGCUCAACUCCGGAUCUGCGGUGGGUACGGGCAGACUAGAGUGCAGUAGGGGAGACUGGAAUUCCUGGUGUAGCGGUGAAAUGCGCAGAUAUCAGGAGGAACACCGAUGGCGAAGGCAGGUCUCGUGGGCUGUAACUGACGCUGAG
rnacentral:rRNA from 1 species